GGAGGGGCGGGGCCCGCGCGGCCAGGGGGCGGGGCCGGGGCGGGGCGCGGAUCGGACGGUCCGGAGGACACGCCCCGCCGUGGGGUGGGGGGAGUCUCGCGCCCCACGCCCUCGCUUCCGUUUCCGCGGGUGGCGGCGGGGGAGUUCCGCCGUCCGCGUGCAGGGGCGUCGGCGGUGCCCGGCUCCCCCGCUCGCUUCCCUUCCCCUCUCCGCCCCGCGCCUCCCUUUGCCGGCUCCUCCUCCCCCCUUGACCUGCUCCUUCUCCUCUUCUGUCUCCCCCAGCUCCCCCUGCUCCCCUCCCCCUGCUGCUCCUUCCCCCAUCCUGCGCCCCUGCCCGUCCUCCUCUCCCACUUCCUCUGUCACGGCCCACGUCUUUGGUCACAUUGGGUAGGAGUUUCCCAACGCACCAGAAACACCAGAACCCUCCGCCACCCCCACCUCUGUCCCCGAGCCCCCCCCCCCCCCGUCCCAUCCCCCAAGUCCCCACCACGCACACCUUCUAUUUUAGCCUCCCUCUUCCCGGAACCAGCCUCGCAGACUCCCGCCUCAGUGCCCGGUACACCGCCCCACCCCCCCUCGCUUGGCAUUUCUGUUCCCCCCGGAUAUCUGCCGGGCUCCUUCCUUCACGACUGCUCCGCCACCUUAUCAGAAAGGCCUUCCCCCGCCACCUUGUGCGAAAUAAAAUAGCGCCUGCUCUCCCGGGCCGCGCUCCCCCUUAUCGCGGAGCACCACCUGGCCUGUAACACGUUCAUUUGUUCUUUGCGUUCUGAGCCCCCCCCCCACACACACACACCCCACCCCCCUGCGCCCCAACUGGGAUGCUGUGGGGUGGACGCUUUGUCUCUCUGCCCCGUCCUGCCCCGUCCGGAGCAGCUAGAACACUGCCUGGCAGGUUAUGGUUGCUCUCGGCAAGCACUUUCGAAUGAACGGAGGCUGGGUGCUGUGCUAAGUGCCUGACACACGGGGCUCCGUUUCCCAGAUACGGAAAGGCGCCCGGAGAAGUGAAGUCAACCGAUCCACGUUUGUGCUUUCUAACGAAGACGGAGAUGGAUGACGAGCGAGUGAACGAUGGAUAAUCGCAGCUCUAGAGCAGAAGCCCUUCUGUUCUUGGUAACGGAUGCACCCCCAGCACUGGGACAGUGUCCCGCACGUACUUCGUAGGCACUAAAGACAAAGUAAUCAACUCGCUCGCUACAGCAUUAAGUAAUUAAUCAAGUCUCUCAUGGAGGAAUGAAUAUACUCCGUCGAAUUCCCAAAGGUCUUCAACAGCCAUCAGCUUUGUGGACUGUCUUAUUCCUAUUGACUUUGUGGUUCUUGGCAACUGACCAGUUAACUAAAACCUGGGGUCUGCCCUGGCCGGAUGCCCCCACCCACUUCCUUGACACCCCUCCUCCCUCAAAGAGGCUCAUUCGCCUUGACCGUCUCACCCGAUCUCACUUGCAUUUAUUACGAACUCCUCAAGGUCCAAAUGUGCGUGAUGCUUACCCAAGACAGGCCCAAGGACAUGGCGGGAGUGACCUUGCGUCACGGCUGGCUGUCACCUGACCAGAGGCAGAGGAGAUGAAAGGCUAUCUGAGACCCGUGACCCGCGAUCUCACCCGAAGGGAGUCACUUCCGGUGGGGGGGAUGGCCGGGGGCAGGUUUGUGGGGGUGACCUAAGGCGACCUGAGAAGCGGGAGAAAAAGCUUCAUCGCGCUGGAGAGAAAGAUGAAAAGGAGUAAAAUGUUUUCACCGUGGAUGCCGGAGGGAUCCCAUGAAAACCAAGUCAAAUGACGUUCGUGCUCCGCUCCACAGUCUCCCGUGACCAAAAGACGGAGAGUGAGUGUUGGCAAAGAGGCGGGGACACUGGUGGCCUCAGACACUGUUGGGGGCGGGGGGUGUAACAUGGCGCGGCCCCCGAGGAAGCCAUCCCUCAAAAGGCUGGACACAGACUCACCUUAAGACCCGGCUGUUCCAGUCUGGGGCACACACAAGAGAAAUGAGAUCCGCGUCCACACGAACACUCGUGCCCCAGUGGCCCCUACAGCGCUGCCCGCGACAGCCCCAAGGUGGAGGUGGCCCCCGCGUCCCUCAGCUGACGAAUAGGUAAAUGAAAGGGGCGGUCUCACCCCACGGAACGUUAUUUGGCAUGAAAACAGUGCUGCUACGAGCCGCAAGACCACAUAGUGUUGGGUUCCGUUCGCAGGAAAUUUCCAGAAGGGGCAACUCCACCAGACAGAAAGCAGAUUCGUGGUGGUCUAGGAUCGGGGGGUGGGGGGAGGAGGAGGUGUGGGGGGGGAUGAUGAUAUCUUUGGGAUGAUGACAAUGUCCUAAGAUUGACUGUGGUGGUGUUUGCACGACCCCGUGCAAUAGACUAAAAUCUGGUGAGUUGUGCCCAUCAAAUGAGUGCAUUGUAUGCUUUAUGAGCUACCUGUCAAUAAAGCUGUCACUUAAAAAAAUCAAA